rnacentral:rRNA from 1 species
GAAGGGUGCAAGCGUUAUCGGAAUUACUGGGCGUAAAGGGUGCGUAGGCGGUUUGUUAAGUCUGUCGUGAAAUCCCCGGGCUCAACCUGGGAAUGGCGAUGGAUACUGGCAGGCUAGAGUGUGUCAGAGGAUGGUGGAAUUUCCAGUGUAGCGGUGAAAUGCGUAGAGAUCGGAAGGAACAUCAGUGGCGAAGGCGGCCAUCUGGGACAACACUGACGCUGAAGCACGAAAGCGUGGGGAGCAAACAGAAUUAGAUACCCUGGUAGUCCACGCCCUAAACGAUGCGAACUGGAUGUUGGUCUCAACUCGGAGAUCAGUGUCGAAGCUAACGCGUUAAGUUCGCCGCCUGGGGAGUACGGUCGCAAGACUGGAACUCAAAGGAAUUGACGGGGGCCCGCACAAGCGGUGGAGUAUGUGGUUUAAUUCGAUGCAACGCGAAGAACCUUACCUGGCCUUGACAUGUCCGGAAUCCUGCAGAGAUGCGGGAGUGCCUUCGGGAAUCGGAACACAGGUGCUGCAUGGCUGUCGUCAGCUCGUGUCGUGAGAUGUUGGGUUAAGUCCCGCAACGAGCGCAACCCUUGUCCUUAGUUGCCAGCACGUAAUGGUGGGAACUCUAAGGAGAUUGCCGGUGACAAACCGGAGGAAGGUGGGGAUGACGUCAAGUCCUCAUGGCCCUUACGGCCAGGGCUACACACGUACUACAAUGGUCGGUACAGAGGGUUGCAAUACCGCGAGGUGGAGCCAAUCCCAGAAAGCCGAUCCCAGUCCGGAUCGAAGUCUGCAACUCGACUUCGUGAAGUCGGAAUCGCUAGUAAUCGCGGAUCAGCUAUGCCGCGGUGAAUACGUUC